rnacentral:rRNA from 1 species
GAUGAACGCUGGCGGCGUGCCUAAUACAUGCAAGUCGAGCGAACGGACGAGAAGCUUGCUUUUCUGAUGUUAGCGGCGGACGGGUGAGUAACACGUGGAUAACCUACCUAUAAGACUGGGAUAACUUCGGGAAACCGGAGCUAAUACCGGAUAAUAUUUUGAACCGCAUGGUUCAAAAGUGAAAGACGGUCUUGCUGUCACUUAUAGAUGGAUCCGCGCUGCGUUAGCUAGUUGGUAAGGUAACGGCUUACCAAGGCAACGAUGCAUAGCCGACCUGAGAGGGUGAUCGGCCACACUGAAACUGAGACACGGUCCAGACUCCUACGGGAGGCAGCAGUAGGGAAUCUUCCGCAAUGGGCGAAAGCCUGACGGAGCAACGCCGCGUGAGUGAUGAAGGUCUUCGGAUCGUAAAACUCUGUUAUUAGGGAAGAACAUAUGUGUAAGUAACUGUGCACAUCUUGACGGUACCUAAUCAGAAAGCCACGGCUAACUACGUG